rnacentral:rRNA from 1 species
UACGGAGGGUGCAAGCGUUAUCCGGAUUCACUGGGUUUAAAGGGUGCGUAGGUGGGCAGGUAAGUCAGUGGUGAAAUCUCCGGGCUUAACCCGGAAACUGCCAUUGAUACUAUCUGUCUUGAAUACCGUGGAGGUGAGCGGAAUAUGUCAUGUAGCGGUGAAAUGCUUAGAUAUGACAUAGAACACCAAUUGCGAAGGCAGCUCACUACACAGUCAUUGACGCUGAGGCACGAAAGCGUGGGGAUCAAACAGG